AUACGGGAGAGAUCACAAUUAAUGUGGCACCGAAGGAGCAACUACCCAGGAAACUCUCAGGUAAAAGGACCGUAA
rnacentral:ncRNA from 1 species